rnacentral:rRNA from 1 species
AGAGUUGAUCCUGGCUAGGACGAACGCUGGCGGCAUGCUUAACACAUGCAAGUCGAACGAACUUGAUCCUUCGGGAUGAAAAGUUAGUGGCGGACGGGUGAGUAAUGUAUGAGCAAUCUGCCCUUUCAUCGGGAUAACAUAGGGAAACUUAUGCUAAUACCGAAUAUGACCACGGUAUCGCAUGGUACUGCGGUGAAAGCUCCGGCGGAAAAGGAUGAGCUCAUAUCCUAUUAGUUAGUUGGUGAGAUAACAGCCCACCAAGACAGCGAUGGGUAGCCGAGCUGAGAGGCUGAUCGGCCACAUUGGGACUGAAACACGGCCCAGACUUCUACGGAAGGCAGCAGUGGGGAAUAUUGGUCAAUGGAGGCAACUCUGAACCAAGCAAUGCCGCGUGAGUGAUGAAAAUCUUACGAUUGUAAAGCUCUAACUUAGAGACGAUAAUGACGGUAUCUAAGGAUAAGCCCCGGCUAACUACGUGCCAGCAGCGGC